rnacentral:rRNA from 1 species
CAUAGCGACUAUCGUGGCAUAUCAAUAAGCGGAGGAAAAGAAACUAACAAGGAUUCCCUUAGUAACGGCGAGUGAAGCGGGAAGAGCUCAAAUUUGAAAUCUUCAAGGUUCUACCUUGACGAAUUGUAGUUUAUAGAAGUGUUUUCUGUUAGUGGAGUGGCAAAAGUUCUUUGGAAUAGGACAUCAUAGAGGGUGAGAAUCCCGUAUUUGGUCAUUCCUCCUAGCGUUGUGAUACACUUUCAACGAGUCGGAUUGUUUGGGAAUGCAGUCCAAAAUGGGUGGUAAAUUUCAUCUAAAGCUAAAUAUUGGCGAGAGACCGAUAGCGAACAAGUACCGUGAGGGAAAGAUGAAAAGAACUUUGAAAAGAGAGUUAAACAGUACGUGAAAUUGUCAAAAGGGAAGCGUUUGACACCAGUGUUGUUUUUCCGAAAAUCAAUUACGAAUGUUUUAUUUUUGAGGAGUUAUGACUUCAUCGGCUUGCUCCUUUCUUUAUGAAACUUUCUUAAUGCACUUUUCGGUUAACAAGUCAACAUCAAUUUCUUUUGUUGUAAAAGGGUCAUUGGAAGGUGGCUUUCUUUUCGGAGAAAGUGUUUAUAGCCUUUGGCCUCUGCAAUCGGAGAGAUUGAGGUCUGCAGCGUAGAUCCUUCGGGGUUAGAUACAUUUGUGCUAAGCUAUAGCCUUUCAUAGACAACUUGUUGACUAUGAUCAGUCAUGUAGCUUACUCGCUUAUGCUAUUUUACCUACGCUUAGGAUGUUGAUAGUCACAGCGUGUAC